rnacentral:lncRNA from 1 species
UAUAUAUAUAAUUUCACAUAAACAGAAUUAAAUGUUUUAAAACAGCUUUGGUCACCUGACGGAAAAAUUAUCGUAAAAAAAAAAUUUUUUAAACAAAAUCCCCUUAUUUUAAGCUUUCAGAAAAGGAAAGUAUUCGAAAAAUUAUUUAUAUAAUUUCGUUUAUAUAUAUAUAUAUAUUCAGAAUACAAAUUUCCUGUUUGUUUCGGAGGGCUGAACAAAUUCAGGACAAACUAUUCCAUUUUUAAACGGAUGUACAUAAUUCGGUGACGUCACACAACUGUUAACAAACAUGUGCCGCAGGUUUAGCAUUUGUUACCAUUAUUAUAUUUUCAUAAAAGAAGAAAGAAGGCGGGUCGUAAAAUGAAUUACUGGAAAAUUGCAUUAUCGUCAUGUCCCGAGAUAAAUUUAGUAGUACAGUAUAUAUUUUCAGUCUAUACAUAUUAGAAAGCUGCACUGUUUAAUAGUAUCGUAAGUCCCAUAGUAACAGGUACCAUUCAUAAAAUUUUAAAGUUUUCUUUAAUUCUAGUUUUGUUACUAUAACGCAGAUCAUGUAGAAUUCAAAUAUCAUCAGACCAACCGAGUUUUUCUUAUAUCGAGGAAGCAUUUGGGUGAGUAUUCUUUCAAAUGGACAAAUCUUCCACAGUGCGCCUAUAUAGAUUACAUCCAUAUUCAAGUUCAUGAUUAGCAGACUUAUUUGUAAGCGUGUUAUCUGCGUCAUAAACUUGAGGCUACUUUCUUUUUAGAUAAGGUUUGGAAUAUAAUAACUCUCAGGUAUGAAUCAGGCGGAUGCUCUACUAAUUCUAUAAUAGUACAGGUGGCAAACGUCAUAUAUAUGAGCCGUCGAAUCAGAUAGCAGUAAGGGAGAUUUUUAUUGCCAUACGUAGCAUAGACUUUGGACCAUGUACUUCUACCUGUCGCUUCAAACUCUGCAACUUUGGUUCGAUUAGGUUCAUUCAAACGAUAAGCUUAACUUCUUUUUUGCCAUAUGGAAGCAACAAUUUCCAGUAUAUGCCAUAAUUCUUCAGUUACGUUGACUUUUUACGUUAUUUAUUUAUUUUUUUCAAUUUAUUUUUUUUUUAAAAAAAUGUCUCCCACUGCGAUAAGGGAGUUGCAUAUUUUUCGAGUAUCCAGGAUACUCUUUUCGAGUCAGGCUAGCAUAAAUCCUGGUUUCUCUAUUCUGGUUAAUUCAGUCGUUUCCCGUGAGUAAACAUAGUGCCAUCCAUCCUGUACGUUUGUAUAUAAUA